AUUGAACGCUGGCGGAAUGCUUUACACAUGCAAGUCGAGCGGCAGCGCGGGGCAACCUGGCGGCGAGCGGCGAACGGGUGAGUAAUGCAUCGGAACAUGUCCAGUCGUGGGGGAUAGCCCGCCGAAAGGCGGAUUAAUACCGCAUACGCCCGGGAGGGGAAAGCGGGGGACCUGCAAGGGCCUCGCGCGAUUGGGUUGGCCGAUGUCCGAUUAGCUAGUUGGUGGGGUGAGGGACGACCCAGGCGAGGAUCGGUAGCUGGUCUGAGAGGAUGAGCAGCCACACUGGGACGGGGAAGCUGCCCAGACUCCUACGGGAGGCAGCAGUGGGGAAUUUUGGACAGUUGGGGCAACCCUGAUCCCGCCAUUCCGCGUGAGUGAAGAAGGCCUUCGGGUUGUAAAGCUCUUUUGUCCGGAGCGAAACGGUUGUGGUGAAUAUCCACGACAACUGACGGUACCGGAAGAAUAAGCACCGGCUAACUACGUGCCAGCCGCCGCCGCGG
rnacentral:rRNA from 1 species